AUGCAUGGGGAAACAGGGGAAGAAGGUGGCCUUUUGUCCCAUUUGGAGAGCUGGCACAAAGUUCACCUGUGCUCAGGAAGGCAAGGUGACAACUGCAGGGUUGCUGCUCUAAGCUGGAUAUCAGGGAGGCCCAACCUGUUCUUUCUGAGGUCACCUUUGGGGGCAAAAAAAUGUCUGUCUUGGGUGUGUGAAAUGACAGGCUUGUCCAACAUAAGCCUGAGCAGCUGCAGAGAUCAGCCUGAAGGCCUGGAGGAGAUGGCCUGCCAUAUGGGAUUCCCAAAGCUCUUCCUGUACCUAUUCACUGCAGCAGCAACAAUGCACAAAAUGCUGAUGGGAAGAGUAAGCACUAAUUGCUUCUGAACUUCAAUGUUUUAUGGCCAAAAGUUUACUUUCCAUUUCCAGUAAGGUCAUCAUUCAGUGAAUCUUCAUACUGCUUUUGAGCUAAAACCAGGCUUUACUGUGUUUAAAUGUGAUGUGGAGGGAAAAGCUGGAGCAUAAUAUGUCCCUUCCAUGAGAUGUCUCAGCAAGGAGACUUGGUACCUUGGACAUAAGGGCAGCAUUAAUUGCAGUCAGUCCCAUGGGGCUUGACUACAGCACACACAAGAAGUGUCCCUUCCCCAAGUAUUAGGGGUCCAUGUGGAGCUCUCCUUGCCCCUCAGGAACAGGUAGAGUUCCAACUCCAACCUGACUCCUCCAAGCUGGAGAGAAAAAACCCAGCCUGUUUCAGCUGGGUAACCUUUCAUUCAAAUGUCAUGUUAAUUCAGUACUUUUUAGGUGAGGCCGUGGCAAGUGCCUGUCCAGUAUUUGUGACAAUGGCCGUGUCUUUGGCCAGGAGCACACACUGGUAACUCUUAGGUGGCAUCUGAGCACAACAGGAGGGGACAUUUUCAGCCAUCAUCCCUUACUUGCUCAGUGGUACCAAGAGCAAUAGAGUGUGGAGAAGGGCUGGGAAAAUCAUCUUCUCUUGAAUUGCUUGUUUGAGAGGCCCAGUAUUGGACUUGUUGCAAAGGAAAGGGAAUAUUACAUUUACUGAAAGUAAGAUGCCACUCCCUCCUUUCCUUCUUUCAGUAUCAAUGGUUUGAGAGGCUGGACAUUUAUUUUUUUUUAUCUUUAUCUUUAGAGAAGUAAUAAGCACUAUUGCAGAGCUAAGGAAAACAGAAGCAAAGUGAUGCAUUUUGUUUUGCAUGGAAUGAAACAGUUCUGCUUUUGAAGAAAAAAAAAACCCUGCCUUUUUCUUUUUC
rnacentral:lncRNA from 1 species